AGAACAUCCCAUCUUCGAGCUCUCUCGCCCCGAGAGAGAGACCGACAACCCGUGAGAAGGGUUCGACCAAAACGCAGUUCUCCGGCCAUCUCUCAGCGGCGGACCACCGACGAUCACUCCCACUCCUUGGCGCCGACGUCCUCCUAGCGACGGAUCAUCCAAUCAGCGAUGGACGGGGACAAUAUAAGGCCGGAAAGCUUGAAACUUUUUUCGGCGAUUCUGGACAUUUUCCGGUGACUCCAUCGGCGAUUUGGCUUGCAUGGCAUACGAAAGUUGGUCUACUCCUCGUGCUCUACGUGGUAGUAGGAAGACUAGACGGUGGAAGCACUCGCCUGACAAACGUGAGGAAUUGUCUGGGUGGUGAAGAAAAGGGAAGGAGUUUUCCCGGUGCCAUGUUCUUCGUCAAGGGAUUAACUCACCGAUUUGGGGAUUCUGCUUUCGAUCGAAAUCGAUAUCAAGCAAAAGAGAGGUCAAGAUGAUGAGGACUGGUAGCUUUGUGGACUCAGGACUCAAGAUCUGGUUCUGGUUAAUUGCUUCUCAGUUGGUUCUGCUAUAAUUUUUGCUCGAGCUUUACAAUGAAUCAAUGAUCUGACCAAUCCAAUGGUCAAGCUAUCUGAUCGAAGAUCUUCUCGCCGCGAUGAGGCUGGAUGCCUGAGUUGCAUGUAUGGUGAAUGAGGUGUGGGUUGAGGGUAAAAUGGAAUACUUUUUUUUUUGUUGAGAAUAAGAGACCUUUA